CCUACGGGAGGCAGCAGUGGGGAAUAUUGGACAAUGGGCGCGAGCCUGAUCCAGCAACGCCGCGUGAAUGAUGACUGCCUUAGGGGUUGUAAACUCUGUUUAUAGAGGAGUAAAGUGAGGCACGUGUGCCUUUAUGUAUGUACUUUAUGAAUCAGGAUCGCCUAACUCCGUGCCAGCAGCCGCGGUAAUACGGAGGAUCCGAGCGUUAUCAGGAUUUAUUGGGUUUAAAGGGAGCGUAGAUGGGUUGUUAAGUCAGUUGUGAAAGUUUGCGGCUUAACCGUAAAAUUGCAAUGGAUACUGGGAGUCUUGAGUGCAGAUGAGGUAAGCGGAAUUCGUGGUGUAGCGGUGAAAUGCGUAGAUAUCACGAAGAACUCCAGUUGCGAAGGCGGCUUACUAGACUGUCACUGACAUUGAGGCUCGAAAGUGUGGGUAGCAAACAGGAUUAGAUACCCGGGUAGUC
rnacentral:rRNA from 1 species